rnacentral:lncRNA from 1 species
AUUCUCUUCUGUUUUUGUAGACUUGUAUGUUUUGAUAAAAUUGCAUGAAUAAGUAUCAACGUUAAGAAAAGUUUGGAGUGCCUGAAAAAGAAUCAGCUGCCGUCGACGCCGCGGGAUCAGGACCUGGCCCACGAGCCAGGGGAAGGCGGGCCCGUGCGGCCCCCAGGUCUCGCCGUCCGCGAGUUCCUCGUGGCAGCGGGCGCGGUAGGCGCGCAGCAGCGCCAGGCACCAGUCCUCGUCCACGCGGUAGCGCGCGUAGAAGGCGGCCUCCUGGGCCAGGCUGCCCACGCGCAGCCAGCGGGUCACGGCCGCGCGGCCCUCGCGCGCCAUCACGGCCGGGUAGCGGUGCUGCAGCAGCCGGAGCAGCAGCUCGUUGCCACGGUUGCCCUGCACGUCGCCCGGCGCUGGCGGCGGCGGCAGGCGGCCCGCGGUGCUGACCACGUCGUCCUGCGUGCGCCGCAGCAGCAGCACGGGCCCCGGGUAGCAGCACAGCUGCUCGGCCACGUUGAGGUUGAAGUGCUCGCGCACCGUGCGCACCACCAGCCCCUUCCAGCUGUGCGGCAUGACCUUGAGCGCCAGCGGCACCAGGUCGUCGAAGGUGGCGUCCAGCACCAGCGCGCCCAGCUCCGGGGAGGCGGCACACAGUUUCUGAGCGUGUGUCUCAGCGACUGCAUGGGAAGCACUCACACAGCUGGCUCCCGGCUGACGACUGACUUAGGUUUCUUCAGUUCAUGGUGGUGCAGAAGUGCCACUCUGGGGGCCGGUGCUGUGGCACAGCGGGUAAAGCCACCGCCUGCGACACCAGCAUCCCAUAUGGGCACUGGUUUGUGUCCCGACUGCUCCACUUCCAACCCAGCUCCCUGCCAAUGGCCUGGGAAAGCAGCUGAAGAUAGCCCAGAUGUUUGGCUCUUGCACCCAUGCGGGAGACCCAGAUGAAGCUCCUGGCUCCAGCCUCGCCCAUCCCUGGCUGUUGUGGCCACUUGGGGAGUGAACCAGCAGAUCAACAAUCAGUGUCCCUCUGUGUAACUCUGACUUUCAAAUAAAUAAAGAUUUUCUUUAAAGGACCA